GACGAACGCUGGCGGCGUGCCUAAUACAUGCAAGUCGAGCGGACCGAACGAGGGCUUGCUCUUGUUUGGUCAGCGGCGGACGGGUGAGUAACACGUGGGCAACCUGCCCGCAAGACCGGGAUAACUCCGGGAAACUGGAGCUAAUACCGGAUAACACCGAAGGCCGCAUGGUCUUCGGUUGAAAGGCGGCCUUUGGGCUGUCACUUGCGGAUGGGCCCGCGGCGCAUUAGCUAGUUGGUGAGGUAACGGCUCACCAAGGCGACGAUGCGUAGCAGGGUUGGGAGGGGGACAGGCCAACCUGGGACUGAGGCACGGCCCAGACUCCUACGGGAGGCAGCAGUAGGGAAUCUUCCGCAAUGGGCGAAAGCCUGACGGAGCGACGCCGCGUGAGCGAAGAAGGCCUUCGGGUCGUAAAGCUCUGUUGUGAGGGACGAAGGAGCGCCGUUCGAAGAGGGCGGCGCGGUGACGGUACCUCACGAGAAAGCCCCGGCUAACUACGUGCCAGCCGCCGCCGUAA
rnacentral:rRNA from 1 species